UGCUGUUUAGCCGGUAAAUAAAACUAAUAUUACAAAUAGAAUGAUUUUGGAAGCUGUAGAAGAGUUAAACUGAAAUGUUAGUUCCUGACUAGCAUUCAUCAUGCAAUUGCCCUGUCAAUGUAUGGCAGUUUGUUUGUGCUAUAGGUAACCCUUCUCUUUUUUGCAGAUUUGAGGCCAGAGCCAGCCAUCAUAACUACACAAUAUACAAGUUUUCUUGUGCAAGUGAUAACCUGUCAUCAGCAACAAUCUCAGGAUCAUCGCUUGGAUACAAAGCAUCCCAUUGCACUGGAAAAACUACCGAUAUCAAUCGAAUUACGGAUCUCUCUAUCCCCUUUCUUUAAAUGUCCUCGUGUAUGCCCAUGUGAAUGUGGGUGUAUUCACGAGAACACCCCUUACCCUAUUCCGUCUGGUGCUGUAAUUCAACUCUUCAGCAGAUGGAUGGAGCAACUGUAGAUGCCUGGCUGUAUUUUCCAGGCAUAAAGAAUUUGUUAUCCAUCAGUCAACCCUCAUUGCCCAUUGAAAUAAUGGAUGUGGGACACCGCGAUGACAAGCCAAGACACAUGUCCAAGGAAAUUCCUGGUUGUUAUGAUUUAUUGAGA